CGAAAGGGCCUUCGGGCCCCUGAAAGCGGCGAACGGGUGAGUAACACGUGGGUAACCCACCCUCGGUUCCGGGAUAGCUCGGGGAAACCCGGAUUAAUACCGGAUGGCCUCUGGAGCCCUCGGGCUCUCGAGAAAAGGUAGCUUCGGCCUCCGACCGAGGACGGGCCCGCGGCCGAUUAGCUUGUUGGCGGGGGAACGGCCCACCAAGGCGACGAUCGGUAGCUGGUCUGAGAGGAUUAUCAGCCACACUGAAACUGAGACACGGCCCACCCUCCUACAACUUNUAGAAAUCUCCUACAAUAUUUCAG
rnacentral:sRNA from 1 species